AAGCAGUAAAGCUUCUUGCUGCUUGCAGUCCUCUGAAAUCCUACAAGACUGGCACUGUGAGGAUUGUGUUUUCCACCUCCUAGCCUGCUUCCCUGGAUCCAUUCAUGUCAAAUAACCUCCAGUCUGGAGAUGUAUUUCUCCUGCCUCAGUUCUCUCUGCAUUGGGCAGGAGUACUUCAUCCCCUUUGGAAAGCCCUGCUCAAGAGAGAUGCCGAAUGUGCUGGCUGUGUUUCCCGUUUUGUGGCUUCCUCCACCUGAUCCCGCUCGUUAGGCCUGUUGACUGAAGCUGAAGUGCUGUGCGUGGAAGUGGGUUGAGAAGGAGCCUUUGCCAGUUCUCCGACGUGUCUUUUAAAUUACACAGACUGAUUCUGACGGUCCCUGGGAUGUGUCGAAAAAUGUGCUGCUUCCUGCUGCAUUCGGCAAUAGAUUGGACGCGCGUGCUGUGUUAGUACGGAGCGGCAAAGGGGCCUUGCCAGCAGCAGAAGAGCAGAAGGAAGACAAUGACUCCCCCUGGGAUACUAAGACUGAUUCCAAAGGUCAAGGGAAAGUGUCGACCAACUUGACACUUCGUGCUGCAGUGGGCAAGAGUUUGGAUGCGCACUCUGUUGCAGUGGAGCAUGGCAAAGGUAAUUUCAGAGGGACUAAAUGGUUACCUUUGUAAAGUUCUCUGGGGUGACAUGGCUGGGGAGAAAGCAGAGUGAAAUAAGCCCUCAGAGUAAUGACAUGCCUCUUACGUCUUU